rnacentral:rRNA from 1 species
UACGUAGGGUGCAAGCGUUAAUCGGAAUUACUGGGCGUAAAGCGUGCGCAGGCGGUUUCGUAAGUCUGUCGUGAAAUCCCCGGGCUUAACCUGGGAAUGGCGAUGGAGACUGCGAGGCUAGAGUUUGGCAGAGGGGGGUAGAAUUCCACGUGUAGCAGUGAAAUGCGUAGAGAUGUGGAGGAACACCGAUGGCGAAGGCAGCCCCCUGGGUCAAAACUGACGCUCAGGCACGAAAGCGUGGGGAGCAAACAGG